UACGGAGGGGGCUAGCGUUGUUCGGAAUUACUGGGCGUAAAGCGCACGUAGGCGGAUUGGAAAGUUGGGGGUGAAAUCCCGGGGCUCAACCCCGGAACUGCCUCCAAAACUCCCAGUCUGGAGGUCGAGAGAGGUGAGUGGAAUUCCGAGUGUAGAGGUGAAAUUCGUAGAUAUUCGGAGGAACACCAGUGGCGAAGGCGGCUCACUGGCUCGAUACUGACGCUGAGGUGCGAAAGCGUGGGGAGCAAACAGG
rnacentral:rRNA from 1 species